rnacentral:rRNA from 1 species
GACGAACGCUGGCGGCGUGCUUAACACAUGCAAGUCGAACGGUGAUGCUCCAGCUUGCUGGCGUGGAUCAGUGGCGAACGGGUGAGUAACACGUGAGCAACCUGCCCCAGACUCUGGAAUAAGCGCUGGAAACGGCGUCUAAUACUGGAUACGAAACUGGCCCGCAUGGGCAUGGUUUGGAAAGUUUUUCGGUUUGGGAUGGGCUCGCGGCCUAUCAGCUUGUUGGUGAGGUAAUGGCUCACCAAGGCGACGACGGGUCGCCGGCCUGAGAGGGCGACCGGCCACACUGGGACUGAGACACGGCCCAGACUCCUACGGGAGGCAGCAGUGGGGAAUAUUGCACAAUGGGCGAAAGCCUGAUGCAGCGACGCCGCGUGAGGGAUGACGGCCUUCGGGUUGUAAACCUCUUUCAGCAGGGAAGAAGCGAAAGUGACGGUACCUGCAGAAGAAGCACCGGCUAACUACGUG